UGAUAACUAUAGAGCCCUAAGAAAACAGAUUGGGAAGGGCAAACUGCUGGUGAAAAAGAUAGAGUCUCUUGUGAACUCAGCAUGCAACUGUAGCUUAGGGCACCGAGGGAGAGCUGAUGGAAAGGGAGCUUCUCGAACUGAGAACCAAACUGACCAAACAGGAGAAUCUCCUUCAGAGUACAACUGAGCGUCUGAAGACCGCCAUCCAGCAGAAGGAGAACAUGGAGCAGUUCAUCUUCAGCCAUUUGAGCAGGACACAUGAUGUUCUAAAGAAGGCAAGGACUAAUUUGGAGGUACAAAGUACUGCUAGAAGAUACAACAAAUAUGCAUGAAACUUGAUUUUUAAUAAAAGCUUCUCUACCCAUGAAAAAAGUAUAAAACAGCAACUCAAGUUAAAUCCCAUUCAUCACCAGGAAUCAAUUUCAGAACUAUCAACCUCUCCAUAUUUUGACUCCAGAAGGCUGUAUCAAUUGGAAACAUCACCCUCCUCCCAUCUUCAAAUGU